rnacentral:rRNA from 1 species
GAUGAACGCUGGCGGCGUGCCUAAUACAUGCAAGUCGAGCGAACAGACGAGGAGCUUGCUCCUCUGACGUUAGCGGCGGACGGGUGAGUAACACGUGGAUAACCUACCUAUAAGACUGGGAUAACUUCGGGAAACCGGAGCUAAUACCGGAUAAUAUAUUGAACCGCAUGGUUCAAUAGUGAAAGACGGUUUUGCUGUCACUUAUAGAUGGAUCCGCGCCGCAUUAGCUAGUUGGUAAGGUAACGGCUUACCAAGGCGACGAUGCGUGGCCGACCUGAGAGGGUGAUCGGCCACACUGGAACUGAGACACGGUCCAGACUCCUACGGGAGGCAGCAGUAGGGAAUCUUCCGCAAUGGGCGAAAGCUUGACGGAGCAACGCCGCGUGAGUGAUGAAGGUCUUCGGAUCGUAAAACUCUGUUAUUAGGGAAGAACAAAUGUGUAAGUAACUAUGCACGUCUUGACGGUACCUAAUCAGAAAGCCACGGCUAACUACGUG